AAUUGGUCUAUGUCUGGAAUCAGGAGGCCUGGUUCUAGCCCAAGCACAGUCUCCAGCUUAAGGAAUGACCUUAAGCAAGCACUUCUUCCCUCAGGGCAACAUUUAAAAAAAUAAGAAGGUUGGAUUGAUCAACAUUUUACAGCCUGUAUUUCAUAGGACAUUCUCCUUUUAAUAUAUUUGCUUGAACCUUCUUGAAAACAGGACUCCAUGGACAAAUAAGGAGAGAGCCACCAUGUCAUGACAACACAUGUCAUGAGAAAGCCCUGAGGAGAAGUCCCUGUGGGGAGAAACUGAGACCUACCACCAACAACUAGAAUCGCCUUGCCAGCCAUGUCUAACACCAACAAUAUUUACACACUGAAGGCAUGAGUAUGGCCCUUUGGGGGGCUGUGAUAUUGUUAUUGAGGAGUUUUCCAGAGAUAACUAGAAAAGAGCUAGAAAACAAUGGAAGGAACUUGAGAAGCUCACAGGUGUGGAAAGGGAAGAUCUCGGUUUCAAUGGAACAUUGGAUCUACACAAGUCAAGAGGCAAAGAGUGGGCUUUGCUGAAGACUGAUGCUAAAGCUGAAUUCUGGACAAUGAGUAGCAAUGAGCCAUGUAAAGAAAAGGAAGUGAGUAGGGCCUGAGGCAAAACAGAGCUUGCCAUGUUUGAGGAACUUUGAGAGAAGUUUUGUGCCCAGUGGGAGAACACUAAGAAUGAAAUUGGCUCAAAAUGAGGCUGGAGAUGUAGGCUUAGAUUACAUAGGUUGGCCAGAUCAGAAAUUUUAGAUUUCAUUUCAAAAAUCAAUGGGGAAUCAUUAAAUUAAAUUAAUCAAUAAAUUGAUUCAUUAAAUAAAUUUAAUGAUCAUUAAUCAUUAAAUUAAAUCAUUAAAUUGCUUUAAGUUAGAGAGGAGGAAUAGCUGCAGAGCAAAUUUCCAUUUUUUAAAGAUUAUUUUAAGGGUAGGACUUCCAGAAUAGCCACCACCAUCCCCCCAUCACCACAUACCCCCCACCACCAUCUCCCCCCACCAUACUCCCACCACAUUCCCCCCAUAUCCCCACCACAUCCCCCCCACCACCACCACAUCCCCUCUACCACCACCAUAUCACCCCCCACCACCACCACCACAUCCCCACCACCACCACCACAUCCCCCCUACCACCACCACAUCCCCCCUACCACCACCACAUCCCCUCCACUACCUCCACAUUCCCCCCACCACCUGCACAUCCCCCCACCACAUCCCCCCCACCACAUCCCCCCCACCACCACCACAUCCCCCCCACCACCACCACAUCCCCCCGACCACCACCACAUCCCCCCCCCACCAUCACAUCCCCCCCACCACCAUCACAUCCCCCCUACCACCACCAUAUCCCUGAUACCACCACCAUCCCUGGAUCAUGGAAGCUGUAUUCUAGGCAGGCACAUCCGAGAUGACCAGGGUACUCUUUCUCCACCCAGCCCUCAGUCAUAGGAUAGAAACUACCUCAGACAUGGCAAGCUGCAAACACUGGCAGUCCAAUAGCCCUCUGCCCACAUUCCAUGUGCUCUUAGGAGAGUUUCCAUGCCAGGAAGGUCAAGCCAAGUAGACAAGGGAUUACCAUCCACCCACCCCAACCGUAUUCAUAGAGCAAGGGUGUCACAUCGAGAAGUAGGUCUCCACCUUCAACUCCAGCGCAUAGCACAGGGUCUCUGCCCAGGGGAGAGGCAGGUCAUGAGAUGAAGAGCUCUGCGGCUCUGCCUGAGGGGACCAGCUGUUUGGAACACAGAGUGGAGAACUCCAGGCCUAAGAAUCCUGUGGAUCAUGGACAACAUGGGGAAACCCCAGCUCU